AACGAACGCUGGCGGCAGGCUUAACACAUGCAAGUCGAACGCCCCGCAAGGGAGUGGCAGACGGGUGAGUAACGCGUGGGAACGUACCUUUCAGUUCGGAAUAACUCAGGGAAACUUGUGCUAAUACCGGAUACGCCCGCAAGGGGAAAGAUUUAUCGCUGAAAGAUCGGCCCGCGUUGGAUUAGCUAGUUGGUGGGGUAAAGGCCUACCAAGGCGACGAUCCAUAGCUGGUCUGAGAGGAUGAUCAGCCACACUGGGACUGAGACACGGCCCAGACUCCUACGGGAGGCAGCAGUGGGGAAUAUUGGACAAUGGGCGCAAGCCUGAUCCAGCCAUGCCGCGUGUGUGAUGAAGGCCUUAGGGUUGUAAAGCACUUUCACCGAUGAAGAUAAUGACGGUAGUCGGAGAAGAAGCCCCGGCUAACUUCGUG
rnacentral:rRNA from 1 species